ACGGGAGGCAGCAGUGAGGAAUAUUGGUCAAUGGACGCAAGUCUGAACCAGCCAUGCCGCGUGAAGGAUUAAGGCCCUAUGGGUCGUAAACUUCUUUUGUAUGGGAGCAAUAAGUCUUACGUGUAGGAUGAUGAGAGUACCAUACGAAUAAGCAUCGGCUAACUCCGUGCCAGCAGCCGCGGUAAUACGGAGGAUGCGAGCGUUAUCCGGAUUUAUUGGGUUUAAAGGGUGCGUAGGCGGCUUUGUAAGUCAGCGGUGAAAUGUCGGGGCUCAACUCCGGAACUGCCGUUGAUACUGCAGGGCUUGAAUGCGGAUGCCGUGGGAGGAAUGUGUGGUGUAGCGGUGAAAUGCAUAGAUAUCACACAGAACACCGAUUGCGAAGGCAUCUCACGAAUCCGCGAUUGACGCUGAGGCACGAAAGUGUGGGGAUCAAACAGGAUUAGAUACCCUGGUA
rnacentral:rRNA from 1 species